rnacentral:rRNA from 1 species
GACAGAGGGUGCAAACGUUGUUCGGAAUUACUGGGCGUAAAGCGCGUGUAGGCAGCUCGGCAAGUCGGGUGUGAAAGCCCUGGGCUCAACCUAGGAAGUGCACUCGAAACUUCCGAGCUGGAGUACUGGAGAGGAAGGCGGAAUUCUCGGUGUAGAGGUGAAAUUCGUAGAUAUCGAGAGGAACACCGGUGGCGAAGGCGGCCUUCUGGACAGUCACUGACGCUGAGACGCGAAAGCGUGGGUAGCAAACAGG